CUUCAGAAAUUGGCUCAGUGGAUACAGUUUCAAUAAGCAAGAGCCCUGAACAACAAAGCAGCUCAUUAACAAGAUCAAGACGUGGAGCCAAUAUGGAAGAUGAUCGUAAACACUCUUCAAAAUCGAAUUCCGCUGGAAAUGCGAGUAAAAAGUACAAAGUAUGGGCAUGGGGAUCAACUGGAGAAGAGAAAUGGAAUGUUGAUAUGGAAAUUGGAACCGAUUGGAAAUCACUUGUCAGAUCUGCAUUACUUCCAAUUACAACUGAUUUCUUUCCCGAUGGACAAACAUUACAGACUCAAUUUAGAAUGAAUGAAUAUUCGAUUGAAGUUACAAAUAAAUCAUUGGAGGACUAUAGGUUUAAAAAUGAGAUUUCUCUGAGCCUGAAAACCCUCGAAAUGUUUCAGAAAUGGGUUGUAUGAGCAGGAUGAAUGUGCAAUUAUUGGAACUCCAUUUGAUUCGUUAGAAAUGAGCAAUAGUCAUCAUUCGGAUGUUCAAACUACCUUACAAACUCAAGUUAAAGAUCAAAGAUAUCGCCGGAUUCGAGAUCGAAACGAGAAGCCUACGAUGGCUCAACUAGUCUAUGAGCAACUUAUUCUACAGAGGUUACAGCGAGGAUAUCAGAUUGUGUUGCUUGAUAAGG
rnacentral:sRNA from 1 species